GUAGGUGGCAAGCGUUGUCCGGAAUUAUUGGGCGUAAAGCGCGCGCAGGCGGUUCUUUAAGUCUGAUGUGAAAGCCCACGGGCUCAACCGUGGAGGGUCAUUGGAAACUGGAGAACUUGAGUACAGAAGAGGAAAGCGGAAUUCCACGUGUAGCGGUGAAAUGCGUAGAGAUGUGGAGGAACACCAGUGGCGAAGGCGGCUUUCUGGUCUGUAACUGACGCUGAGGCGCGAAAGCGUGGGGAGCAAACAGGAUUAGAUACCCUGGUAGUCCACGCCGUAAACGAUGAGUGCUAAGUGUUAGGGGGUUUCCGCCCCUUGGUGCUGCAGCUAACGCAUUAAGCACUCCGCCUGGGGGGUACGGCCGCAAAGGCUG
rnacentral:rRNA from 1 species